AUUGAACGCUGGUGGCAGGCCUACCACAUGCAAGUCGAGCGAGCGGCGGACGGGUGAGUAAUGUAUGGGGACUGCCCGAUAGAGGGGGAUAACUACUGGCAACGGUGGCUACUACCGCAUACUAUCGGAUAACCCAUAUGGGAUUAGCUAGUAGGUGGGGUAAAGGCUCACCUAGUCGACGAUCUCUAGCUGGUCUGAGAGGAUGAUCAGCCACCCUGGGACGGAAACACGGCCCAGACUCCUACGGGGGCAGCAGUAGGGAAUAUUGCACAAUGGGCGCAAGCCUUGUACAGCCAUGCCGCGUGUAUGAAGAAAACCUUCGGGUUGUGAAGUACUGUCAGCGAUAAGGCGUUACUCGCAGGAGAAGCACCGGAUAACUCCGUGCCAGCAGCCGCGGUAAUAC
rnacentral:rRNA from 1 species